UAAAGGGGGAAGCCGGGAGAACUUGACAGGAAGAGAGAUGAAAUAUCAAGGUCGCAACGAAUUCUUGACGACAUCUGUUUACGACAUUGCGAUUGGUUGAACGCAAACAACACGUUGAACUAUCCAAGAAUGAAAUCGGGGUGUGUGACGUCACCAGAGCAUCUCUUUCCCUCAGAGACCUUCCAGCCCGAUUCUUGCGUGAUCUCGUAUUCCAAAUCUCGUCACAAUGUCGUGAUGAAAAACGAGAUUUUAUUUGGAACAGAAAACCAACUUUUUCCCCUAUCACACUUUGUAAACUCUAGAUAUGUUUUAUGUAAGCUUGGAAUUCGCACAAGUUCUUCCCCUUGAAAACAGAGCUCUCUUGCAUGAAUGAAUUUUGAAAUACGAGGUCCGCAAUGACGUCAUUAACGCUAUGAAAAGAUAAAUGUAGAUUCAAUGCAAGAAAACAACCGAAUCAAAACUCUGUCCGUAUAUACAAGUAGAGCUUAAAUGCAGAAAUUAGGAAAAGUAGUUAUAUAGGAUAUAAGUCAAAUUUUCAUCCAUAUGAAUAUUUUCCAUUUGGCUAUUUACUCACUAGGUCAUAUGUACUUUGGCAAGAUUCUCAAUCGUAGCUCAAUAUCUACUAAUUAAAGCUAUAUUUUUAUAGAUAAGAAAUAUUUAAAUGUACAUGUCAAUAAUUAAAUCAUAACGCAAUCUACAAAAGAACUACGUUUGUAUAAUUUACAAGACACCAAAUUAACAAGAUUUGAUUUUUUUUAAAAUCUAAAUAAGAUUUUCUUAAUUUUAAAUCUGUUCCAGAAAGUUUGGCCAGAUUUCAGAACUAGUCAAAUCAUUUUAUUUUAAUCCUUUUUUUUUAAACGAUAUAUAUAUAUAUAAUGAACAACAAAUUUUAAAAAGAUCGUUACAUGGUGAACAUGCCUAGUUAAUUUUCUCAAACACACCUCCACAAUUGAAAAAAAUAAUUAUCGUCUGCCCAUCGUGGAAAAUUCCGGAGUGAGAAAUGUUGAAGAGCGCUGGUUCCCCGGGAGAAGAAAGCGCUGACUAACCCUGUCGUCUGGCUCCGUGGACAUGUGCCACAAGCAGCCUUGUAGGCCAGGACUAAAUGUGCCACUAAAUGAAGACACGAUAACAGGCGUUCUGCCACAAUGCCAAGAUGUGACAAGUGGGAGACCAGCCAAGGGACGUCACUAUUGAUUUCCAGGCGACAGACGCGAGUUGUCAGCUGAGAGGUUGUUGGUUUGUUGUUUUUUUCUCUUCAUGUAUCCAUCUCUAUGUUUCUGCCUUCUGCCAUAUUGUAGCAAAAUAAAAAUAAAAACAA